GACGAACGCUGGCGGCGUGCUUAACACAUGCAAGUCGAACGGAAAGGCCCCUUUGGGGGUACUCGAGUGGCGAACGGGUGAGUAACACGUGCGUAACUUGCCCUUGACUUCGGGAGAACUUCAGGAAACUGGGGCUAAUACCGGAUAGGAAUCCUUGCUGCAUGGAGGGGGUUGGAAAGCUUCGGGGGGUUUGGAUGGACUCGCGGCUUAUCAGCUUGGUGGUGGGGUAGUGGCUUACCAAGGCUUUGACGGGUAGCCGGCCUGGGAGGGCGACCGGCCACAUUGGGACCGGGAUACGGCCCAGACUCCUACGGGAGGCAGCGGUUGGGAAUAUUGCACAAUUGGCGGAAGCCUGAUGCAGCAACGCCGCGUGCGGGAUGACCGCCUUCGGGUUGUAAACCGCUUUCAGCAGGGGCGAAGCUUGUGGUGACGGUACCUGCAGAAGAAGCACCGGCUAACUACGUG
rnacentral:rRNA from 1 species